rnacentral:rRNA from 1 species
AACGAACGCUGGCGGCAGGCUUAACACAUGCAAGUCGAACGCAUCCUUCGGGGUGAGUGGCAGACGGGUGAGUAACGCGUGGGAACGUGCACUCCACUUCGGGAUAACCCAGGGCAACUUGGGCUAAUACCGGAUACGUGCGAGAGCAGAAAGAUUUAUCGCUGAAGGAGCGGCCCGCGUCUGAUUAGCUAGUUGGUGGGGUAAUGGCCCACCAAGGCGACGAUCAGUAGCUGGUCUGAGAGGAUGAGCAGCCACAUUGGGACUGAGACACGGCCCAAACUCCUACGGGAGGCAGCAGUGGGGAAUAUUGGACAAUGGGCGCAAGCCUGAUCCAGCCAUGCCGCGUGAGUGAUGAAGGCCUUAGGGUUGUAAAGCUCUUUCGUCCGGGACGAUAAUGACGGUACCGGAAGAAGAAGCCCCGGCUAACUUCGUGCCAGCAGCCGCAGUAA